rnacentral:rRNA from 1 species
UACGGGGGGAGCUAGCGUUGUUCGGAAUUACUGGGCGUAAAGCGCGCGUAGGCGGCCUUGUAAGUUAGAGGUGAAAGCCCGGAGCUCAACUCCGGAACUGCCUUUAAAACUGCAUCGCUUGAAUCCAGGAGAGGUGAGUGGAAUUCCGAGUGUAGAGGUGAAAUUCGUAGAUAUUCGGAAGAACACCAGUGGCGAAGGCGGCUCACUGGACUGGUAUUGACGCUGAGGUGCGAAAGCGUGGGGAGCAAACAGG